AGAGUUUGAUCCUGGCUCAGGAUGAACGCUAGCUACAGGCUUAACACAUGCAAGUCGAGGGGCAGCAUGAACUUAGCUUGCUAAGUUUGAUGGCGACCGGCGCACGGGUGAGUAACACGUAUCCAACCUUCCGUUUACUCAGGGAUAGCCUUUCGAAAGAAAGAUUAAUACCUGAUAGUAUGGUGAGAUUGCAUGAUAGCACCAUUAAAGAUUUAUUGGUAAACGAUGGGGAUGCGUUCCAUUAGGUAGUAGGCGGGGUAACGGCCCACCUAGCCGACGAUGGAUAGGGGUUCUGAGAGGAAGGUCCCCCACAUUGGAACUGAGACACGGUCCAAACUCCUACGGGAGGCAGCAGUGAGGAAUAUUGGUCAAUGGGCGAGAGCCUGAACCAGCCAAGUAGCGUGAAGGAUGAAGGUCCUACGGAUUGUAAACUUCUUUUAUACGGGAAUAAAGUAUCCUACGUGUAGGAUUUUGUAUGUACCGUAUGAAUAAGCAUCGGCUAACUCCGUGCCAGCAGCCGCGGUAAUACGGAGGAUGCGAGCGUUAUCCGGAUUUAUUGGGUUUAAAGGGAGCGCAGACGGGAGAUUAAGUCAGUUGUGAAAGUUUGCGGCUCAACCGUAAAAUUGCAGUUGAUACUGGUUUCCUUGAGUGCAGUUGAGGCAGGCGGAAUUCGUGGUGUAGCGGUGAAAUGCUUAGAUAUCACGAAGAACCCCGAUUGCGAAGGCAGCUUGCUAAACUGUAACUGACGUUCAUGCUCGAAAGUGUGGGUAUCAAACAGGAUUAGAUACCCUGGUAGUCCACACGGUAAACGAUGGAUACUCGCUGUUGGCGAUAUACUGUCAGCGGCCAAGCGAAAGCAUUAAGUAUCCCACCUGGGGAGUACGCCGGCAACGGUGAAACUCAAAUGAAUUGACGG
rnacentral:rRNA from 1 species